AGUUGAAAAUUCAAUAAAAUUGUUAAUUAUGCAGUACCAUAUUGAAUUAAAUAAAAGAAAAACUAGAAAAUCAAAGAAUGAGUAUAGGGAAUGCAGAGAACUUUCACAACAUCUAAUAUUUUAUUGUUUUUGUACUAUAAUCAAAGUAAAGUUAAAAUAAUUAAAAAUCACCAAACUGACAAUGAAAACACAAUAUCUUAAAAUGACAACAUGGAAUAUAGGAGAAUUGGGGAACAAUAUAAUCAAAAUUCAGAAGAAUUGGUAUUUUCAACCUUAAAUUCUAGUACAGCUGAUUAUCAAGAUCGAUAAGCAUUGAAUAAAUUAUGAUUUGAGCAAUAUUAACUGAACAUUUUUUAGAAAGGUACUGUAAACCCCUUUAUCAAUUUAUGAACAAUAACCAAGAAAACAUAGCCACACAAUCAAUUUCAAAGUUUAUCUGUUUUUGCAUGUUAUGAAGAGUUGAAGUAUCAGAAGAGGAAAGAAAGAUAGAAAGAAAGACAGAAAGAAAGAAAGAAAGAAAGGAAGGAAGGAAGGAAGGAAAACAAAUGGUAAUGUCAUGAGCUCUAACUCUGGCACAGAGGAGCUGCCUAGAUGAUGGGAGAUAUCAGAGGCUAACGACAAGAUCUCUUCUAAGAGAGAAUGAGAAAGAACAUUAAGUGAAAAUGUCUUUAAUUGUUGGCCGAUGGGGUUCCAUAAAAACCACCAAGCCACUCAUCCUAUUUACAGUGCUAUUGGGCAAACUAAUGGUAAGACUCUAUUGGUGACAACAGCAACUACCUAUCAUUUAACAUGGAGUGAAGGCAAGCUAGUGCCUAAUUAGAGCCUUCACCCUACUGAUGAGUGUUCAUCAUAUUGGAAGGAACUCUUCAUACUACCAGAGGAGAAAACCAAACUCUAACCCAGCUACAAACUCUUCAAUCUACAAGUGACUUCUUUUUGAAUGAAUCAUUGAUACAAUAGUGGCACAAAAUUGGUGCUAGUAACCAUCUAUUAUAUGUGACUUGGAUUUAAGGCUCACUCCAGUAGACAGAACCCACCCACAAUACUGUUUGGUGGUCAAGAACCUGAGACUACAUAGGCCAUGAACCUCUGGAAAACCAAGUAUUGUUGCUCUACUACAGGGACACAGUAAUAAAAUGACUUCUAAGAACACAGUACUAUAAUACCUAUAUGUCAGUGUCUCACUCAUCCAGCUCCAGACUCUUCCUCCUCCUAGAGAUGAGAAUUAAUACAAAGACAAUAACCGGGUAACUGGCAGAAAAUUAUUUUGAAAUUCUCUAUGGGAGAAUUUCUAAAUGGGAUUUCUUCACCAAACAAACCCCUCUUCCUCUCAGGGCUUGAGGAACUCUGGAAGAGAAAUCAGAAAGAAUGUAAGAAUGAGAAGGGAUAGAUGUCACUGAAGAAACUGUCUUCUGGAUACAUCAGGACUAAUGUACGUAUGAACUCAUAGAGACUGAAAACACCUACAGGGCUUGCCCUAGUCCAAGCCAGAUGUCUUCCCAGUACUGAGAAGGGCCAUGGACAUCCACACUGAUCCCCAGCUCAGAAGCCUUACCUCUAACAACUCUUAACACGUGAAAAAAGUUAAUUUCCUCUCCAUAAGGCUGGCCCAAUGCCUAGUGGAAGACAGCCAAGACAAAAUAAACUCUGCAGUAUUAAAGGAGAUGAUUGUCUCAAAAUGAUUUCUCUGGACACUGCUUGCUUGCAUGUCAUUUGCUUAUCAUUAAGUUUUUGAUUCAUCGUUUUAUGGAUUUUGUGUAUGUGUAUUUGUCUAGAAGUAUGUGUUGCUCACCCUUUGUCUUUCCUCUUCUUUUACUUUCCCUUUUUGUCUGUUUUAUUUUAGUUUGUGAGUUUUAUUCUCUUGGCCUGUUGGUGUUUUUGUAGGAAGAGAGAAAGAAGGCAUGGAGUUAGGGAGGUGGGAGAAUCUGGGAGGAGACAGGUUGGAAACUGUGAUCAGAAUAUACUGCAUGAAAAGAUCAACAACAACAAAAACCCAUAUUAUUGUUGUAGUCAAUAUUUAACCUCAGUCAGGGAUCUCUACCCUGCAUGCGGUCAUCCAGUUCCCAGAUAAAAGACAUACAACUAUUAUGUUUAUAGUAAGCCUUUAAUGCACUAGAGCUGGGCAGAUAUCUAUCUUCUAAGCUAUUUGAAUCAACUUCCCUAUAUAUAACUCUGAGUUAUAACUUGACUGUUUUCAUAUGAUUUGCUCUUAAAUCUAAUUGGCUAGCCUUCCUGCCCAUGACUCAUCUCUAUACUAUGGUGUCUUCUACAUUCUCCCCAUUCUCUAUCUCACUCCCUUGUCAUGGUCUCUGUCCCAGACACCAAGCCUGGGCUCCAAAAUUGCAUGUCUCUUCUGCCCAGCUAUAGACUGUCAGCAUGUUUAUUCCACAAAUCGUUUUAAAUUAAGGAAAAGAGUAUAUGCAGAUUCUCCAGACCCUGGAGACCACAAGACCUUGGGGGCCAGUAUUUGUAGGGUUCUGGAGCCCCCCGUGUCUGUUCUGCCUCAGUAAUUGACCAUUCAGGGAGGUAGGACAAGGGAAGUCGAUUGAGAUUACCCAGAGUGUAUCCAGAAGUCCCGGAACACUGCUCUGGGAAUGGGGAAGUACAGUCUGAGGCACUGGACAGCAAGAGGUGGCUCAGGGGUUCAGGGUCUAUGAGGAGGUCAGGGCUCUCUUGUCCUCAGGCUCUCAGACAUCUUGGUGCCAAUGGCUUGACUGUGGCAGUAGACUUGAGAUUGACUUGAACUUGGCUUGGUGGUAGCCAUGGCUGGGAGCACAGAGAAGCCUUCUAAGGGAAAUUACACAUCAGCUUUGUAGGCCAAAGGCCUUUUCCAUGACUCACCAUGGUGGCUCAUGAUGAAAGAGGCAGUCCAUGGUUUUAAGGCAUUUAUUGUCAUGGCAGAAAUUGAAUGUGGAAAACCAUACCCCACUUCUCAGGGUGGGCAUGAGAUUAAAUACCCUUUUCAGGGAGGAGAGUCUGGGAAGGAAAGCUUAUUGGCUAAGUCCACCAAGCCUUUUGAUACCUCAUUAAAAUGGAGAUCUAUCUUGAGCCUAUGUGACCAAAAAUCACGUCCUCUACAGGUGAAUGGGUUUAGGGUGCUGCCGUUACAUAACUGAUGGCCACAAAUCUAUGGAGGGCUGCCACUAGUGACCCGGGCCUGAUGCUUGGGAACAGGCGAAACACCUACUGUCCCUUCAAUGUCACCAGGGUUUCAAGCCAUAGUUCAACCAGGGACCAAGCUGCUUUUCAUGGUCCUACAAGUAUUUAGCAUUACAAUACUUAGCAGAAGACCAAACCUCAACACAUUAGCUAUGUUAGUAUUAGUAUUUUAUAUACAUACUAUUUUUUUAAAAAAAUCUAAGCAUUGUAUUUUUAAUUUCUAUAUGUGAUAGUCAAUUUUCCAAUCUCUCAAUUGUAUUAUUUUAUAGUAUAAUACUAAUUAUAUAAAUUAAUGUAAAAUUUAAUUAUUCAUCUUCUAGUAUUGGGAUAACAUAAAAUGCCAUGGAUAUGUUGGAAAAAUCCUAUUUAUCAGUACAUUUAUUAGUGGGAAGGACACAGCACUGACAUUUUACUCUUAAAUAUAUAGUACCAUCUUGUUGCCUGAAAUGUUUUUAAAGUCUCUGAAGGUUCACAGUAAAUUGUUCUUUUACUGUCCUGUUAGAUUUCUGUACUUUAUGUUUUCUAGCAAUUACGUGGUACUUGCAAGUUUUCUACAGCCAAAAGUACAUGAAGGAAGAUAGCGACGAAAAGUCAAUAGAUAUUUAACAGGAAGGAUUAUUGUUCUUCAAAAUAUUGUGCUCAGC
ensembl:lincRNA